AGAUGUGAGGGCAAUCUGGCUGCGAUGUCUGUCACUCCAUUGAUCGCCGGGGUUGAUUCAGCUGAUCUGGCUGGCUAGGCGGGUAUCCCCUUCCUUCCUCACCACUCCAUAUGCCUUCCCCAAGUAGAGAUAGACAGUCUUCAAUCAAGGGUACACAAUUAGCUGCACUCCUCUGUUAGAACCUCCAAACAAGCUCUCAGGGUCCAAUUUCUUAUCUCCCUGUGAUAGGUGUCCACAGAAUACUCUCACCUCCAACUUAGGUCUUUUCCCCCUAUCGUGCACUAGGG
ensembl:misc_RNA 7SK 7SK RNA